UCUUGUACACACCGCCCGUCAAACCACGAGAGUUGGCAAUGCCAGAAGUCGGUGUCCUAACCGUAAGGAGGGAGCUGCCAAAGGCAGGGUUGAUGAUUGGGGUUAAGUCGUAACAAGGUAUCCUUACCGGAAGGUGGGGAUGGAUCACCUCCUUUCUAUGGAG
rnacentral:rRNA from 1 species